rnacentral:rRNA from 1 species
UAAAGGUUAACGUGCCUCAGCAAAACAACUGACGGCGGCCCUACCACAUGCAAGUGAACGAGAAAGUGGAGCAAUCCAUGAAUACAGUGGCGUACGGGUGAGCACACGUGGGUAAUCUACCUUUUAGUGAGGAAUACCCAAGGGGAUCUUUGGCUAAUACCGCAUAAGCCCGAGAGGGGAAAUUCGAAAGACGCUGAAAGAGGAGCCCGCGGCCGAUUAGCUAGUUGGUGGGGUAAGAGCCCACCAAUGCAGAGACCGGUACCCGGCCUGAGAGGGCACACGGCCACACUGGCAAUGAAACCCGGGCCAGACUCCUACGGGAGGCAGCAGUGGGGAAUCUUGCACAAUGGGGGAAACCCUGAUGCAGCGACGCCGCGUGAGCGAGGAAGCCCUUCGGGGUGUAAAGCUCUUUCGUCGGGAAGAUAGUAACGGUACCUGAGAAGCAACCCUC